rnacentral:RNase_P_RNA from 2 species
GGGAGAGAGAGCCCGGCCGCCGCGAUGGCCCCGCCGGCAACGGCGCGGCCACCUACCGUUGGCCACCUCUCCGAGGUGCCCAACGUACCUAACGUGGCCCAUCUCUUCGAGAUGCGCCACGCUCGCGAGGAAAGUCCCCCCACCUGUUCGGGCAGGUGACCGGACGCAAGUCCGGAGCGGGAGACCGCUGGCUCUGGAACAGAAACGACACGUCUCGGCCCGACCGAUGAUGCCUGCGAACCCGACCGAGAGGAAGGGGAGCUAACCGGCAGAGGGAAGCGUGGUUCGAAUCCACGGAUCGCGCCGACGGCGCGAUCGACCGUACAGAGACGGCCGAGGACCGAUGGAACGGCGAACCCUCACCGGUGCAAGUCCGCGCCGUGGUAGCCCGAACGCCCCGCGGUUUCCGCGGACGGCGCGGACGCUCAGCCGAAUGCCGGAUCGAACAGAAGGGGGCUUACUCCUCUCACCC